rnacentral:rRNA from 1 species
CCGCACGCCGAAAGCCCAAGGUUUCCUGCGCAACGUUAAUCGGCGCAGGGUGAGUCGGCCCCUAAGGCAAGGCCGAAAGGCGUAGUCGAUGGGAAACAGGUUAAUAGUCCUGUACCUUGUCUAGAUGCGAUGGGGGAACGGAGAAAGUUAGGUCGGCCGGGUGUUGGAUGUCCCAGCUUAAGCGUGUAGGCGGGCUCUCUAGGUAAAUCCGGAGAGUCAACGCUGAGGCGUGAUGACGAGUGUGUCGCAAGACACACGAAGCGACUGAUACUCAGCUUCCAAGAAAAGCCUCUAAGCUUCAGUCUAGAUGAGACCGUACCAUAAACCGACACAGGUGGGCGAGGAGAGAAUCCUAAGGCGCUUGAGAGAACUCGGGUGAAGGAACUAGGCAAAAUAGCACCGUAACUUCGGGAGAAGGUGUACCCCCAGUACGUGAAGGAGCUUGCCUCCGGAGCGGAAGGGGGUCGCAGUGACCAGGUGGCCGCGACUGUUUAACAAAAACACAGCACUCUGCAAACACGAAAGUGGACGUAUAGGGUGUGACGCCUGCCCGGUGCUGGAAGGUUAAGUGAUGGGGUGCAAGCUCCUGAUCGAAGCCCCAGUAAACGGCGGCCGUAACUAUAACGGUCCUAAGGUAGCGAAAUUCCUUGUCGGGUAAGUUCCGACCUGCACGAAUGGCGUAACGAUGGCCAUACUGUCUCCAUCCGAGACUCAGUGAAAUUGAACUCGCUGUGAAGAUGCAGUGUACCCGCGGCUAGACGGAAAGACCCCGUGAACCUUUACUAUAGCUUUACACUGGACUUUGAACAGGCUUGUGUAGGAUAGGUGGGAGGCGAUGAAGCCGGGACGCUAGUCCUGGUGGAGCCGUCCUUGAAAUACCACCCUGGCGUGUUUGAGGUUCUAACCUAGACCCGUUAUCCGGGUUGGGGACAGUGUAUGGUGGGUAGUUUGACUGGGGCGGUCUCCUCCCAAAGAGUAACGGAGGAGCACAAAGGUACCCUCAGCGCGGUCGGAAAUCGCGCAUAGAGUGCAAAGGCAUAAGGGUGCUUAACUGCGAGACAGACACGUCGAGCAGGUACGAAAGUAGGUCUUAGUGAUCCGGUGGUUCUGUAUGGAAGGGCCAUCGCUCAACGGAUAAAAGGUACUCCGGGGAUAACAGGCUGAUACCGCCCAAGAGUUCAUAUCGACGGCGGUGUUUGGCACCUCGAUGUCGGCUCAUCACAUCCUGGGGCUGAAGCAGGUCCCAAGGGUAUGGCUGUUCGCCAUUUAAAGUGGUACGCGAGCUGGGUUCAGAACGUCGUGAGACAGUUCGGUCCCUAUCUACCGUGGGCGUUGGAGACUUGAAGGGUGCUGCUCUUAGUACGAGAGGACCGGAGUGGACGUACCUCUGGUGUUCCGGUUGUCACGCCAGUGGCAGUGCCGGGUAGCUAUGUACGGACGGGAUAACCGCUGAAAGCAUCUAAGCGGGAAACCCACCCUAAGAUGAGGUCUCCCUGGACCUUGAAGGUCCCUAAAGGUUCGUCGUAGACGACGACGUUGAUAGGCUGGGUGUGGAAGUGCAGUAAUGCAUGAAGCUAACCAGUACUAAUUGACCGUGAGGCUUGACUAU